rnacentral:tRNA from 1 species
AUGGUCGUGGAGUAAUGGCUAACUCGUCUAUACUUUUGUAUAGAAGAUAAGGGUUCGAUUCCCUUCGUCCAAA